UACGGAGGGAGCUAGCGUUGUUCGGAUUUACUGGGCGUAAAGCGCACGUAGGCGGCUCCGUAAGUCAGGGGUGAAAUCCCGGAGCUCAACUCCGGAACUGCCCUUGAAACUGCAGUGCUAGAAUCCUGGAGAGGCGAGUGGAAUUUCGAGUGUAGAGGUGAAAUUCGUAGAUAUUGGGAAGAACACCAGUGGCGAAGGCGACUCGCUGGACAGGUAUUGACGCUGAGGGGCGAAAGCGUGGGGAGCAAACAGG
rnacentral:rRNA from 1 species